rnacentral:tRNA from 1 species
GCGAGAGUGGCGGAACCGGCAGACGCACUGGAUUUAGGAUCCAGCGCCAUAGCGCGUGGGAGUUCAAGUCUCCCCUCUCGCACCA